UACGGAGGAUCCGAGCGUUAUCCGGAUUUAUUGGGUUUAAAGGGUGCGCAGGCGGGGGAUUAAGUCGGCGGUGAAAUUUUGCAGCUCAACUGUAAAAGUGCCUUCGAAACUGGUUUCCUUGAGUGUAGAUGAAGUAGGCGGAAUUUGUGGUGUAGCGGUGAAAUGCGUAGAUAUCAGGAGGAACUCCGGUGGCGAAGGCGACUUCCUGGCACAAGACUGACGCUCAUGUGCAAAAGCUAGUGUAGCGAACGGGAUUAGAUACCCGGGUAGUCCCUGA
rnacentral:rRNA from 1 species